CAUGCAGUAACUACAAAACCUAGUUGAAUUUUGUAGGGGUCAGGAUGCAUACUUGCUCUAAUGCUGAUGAUCCUGGCGCGGUGGGCGGCUACGGGAUGGACACCAUAUCAACUGCUAGGCAUGACAACAGAGCACCGGCAGAAGGUGUGCCACCUGGUAUACCUGCAACGAACAAUGAAGGACGAAUCAGAUUAAAUUUGAGGCAGGGUCGUACCAACUAAACAACAUGGUCGUCCACAUGUAAACCCAAUCUUUUUCGCAAAAACAAAACAAAAAAAAGUUUCUAGGCAUAAUACAUAUACAUGUAUCGACACUUGUAUCUGGACCAGAUCAGAUCAGAAUAAUUUGGUGGCCGAUCUCGCACAUCAGGAAGGCAGGAACAAAAGAUAAGGGUUGUGCGUACCUGUUUGGUGCUCGCUACCGGCGGAAGGCCGAAGAUGAAGGCAUGGGCACCU
rnacentral:lncRNA from 1 species